UAUGGUUGAUCCUGGCUCAGAUUGAACGCUGGCGGCAUGCCUUACACAUGCAAGUCGAACGGCAGCACGGGAGCAAUCCUGGUGGCGAGUGGCGAACGGGUGAGUAAUACAUCGGAACGUGUCCUGUAGUGGGGGAUAGCCCGGCGAAAGCCGGAUUAAUACCGCAUACGCUCUACGGAGGAAAGGGGGGGAUCUUAGGACCUCUCGCUACAGGGGCGGCCGAUGGCAGAUUAGCUAGUUGGUGGGGUAAAGGCCUACCAAGGCGACGAUCUGUAGCUGGUCUGAGAGGACGACCAGCCACACUGGGACUGAGACACGGCCCAGACUCCUACGGGAGGCAGCAGUGGGGAAUUUUGGACAAUGGGCGCAAGCCUGAUCCAGCAAUGCCGCGUGUGUGAAGAAGGCCUUCGGGUUGUAAAGCACUUUUGUCCGGAAAGAAAACCUCUGGGUUAAUACCCCGGGGGGAUGACGGUACCGGAAGAAUAAGCACCGGCUAACUA
rnacentral:rRNA from 1 species